rnacentral:lncRNA from 1 species
GCUGUGAUGGGGUGUUUUCCUCCCCGCAGGUGGGCAAAGAGGUUUGCCAGACAAUCAACGGUCAAAUCCUCCUGACACCACCAUUGGAUUUAGGACUCCAGGAAGGGGAAACUCACCAAUCGAAGGCUGGUGAUGGAUGGAGUUCUGGCGGUCGAGAAUAUGGGUUCAGGUCAUCCAGUGAGUGGCACUUCCAAAGGAAGAGGGACCCAAAAGUGGGUUUUAACCCUCUUCCCGGGUUUCAGCACCAAUGAAAGAAAAGUGACCACAACACUCAGAGCAACCAAGAGAUCUUUAUUGCAGCAGUGUAACAGAGGAGAAAAGAAAGAGAGAGAGAGAGAGAGAGAGAGAGAGAGAGAGAGAGAGAGAGAGCACACGCAAGAGAGAGACAGAGAAAGCAAGAGAGAGAGAGAGAGC